UAUGCAAGCACUAGCAAUUCAAGUGUACACUUAUAACGUCUAAUAUGUACUCACAUACAAUGUAUAUAAUAUAUAAGUGAUUUGCAUUGCCUUUGAUUGAAGCAAUGCAUUUUGAUUUAAAGUCGAAUUUUAAAUCUUUCCUUCUUCGGCGAUAUAUGUAUAAUCAUGAUAACUCAAUUUGUGUUUAUAAAUAUCGUCGCUAAUUAGCAAUGCUGUUUCCAAGCUGAGCAGUGUCCAUAAAACCAUUUGAUUAGCAUUGAUAAGACACCGAUUGGUCACAACAUGCCUCAAGGGUCGACUUGCGGAGCCGCAUAUUAUUUUAUAAUCAAAAACACACACGGACACACGGGCACACGAUCCAUUCCACCAUAAAGCAAUGCAAAGAACCGAGCUUGAAUUUAUAUGCAAAUAUUAUUUAGAAAAGUACUCUGGCCUUGAAGUGGAUGAGAUGAACAAUUGCUGGAACAACAAUAGCAACUAAGGCGAAUGCAAAUAGCAAAUGCCUGUGGGUGUAAUAAAAAUCAAUGCUUUAAUACAUUUUUAUUAGAGCGAUAGCGCCGCACAAUCGCCGCUCGAAAUAUUAUGCUGUCAAUACGAAUCAAACGCUUCACUGACUCUUUCCGGGGUCAUUCAGCAUCAACUGUGGCCAGACUUUUGAUAUUUGGUAAUGCUCGUAGGCAAAUUCCUCUGCCCGUAGCCGUGCUGUUCGGUAGACUCAUUGCGCUUUGAAUUCGAAUGAAAUAUGACGGCGGAAGCAAGGCACACAGGUUGGCCUGAUUGAUGAUUAUGCAGCAUGGCUUUGGUUGUCAGUUGGUGGAAAAACUUUGCGCACUAAAUAAACAGGAUUAUACAAUUUGAAAUUUGAAACAAAAAUAUAUGUUUUAACAGAAAGUUAUUAUUAUGACAGCCAGCUCUGUUCUCGAGUGCUCGUUACGGUUACUCGUAGGUAUGAAAAUGUGCAC